rnacentral:rRNA from 1 species
CCUACGGGAGGCUGCAGUGAGGAAUAUUGGUCAAUGGGCGCGAGCCUGAAGCAGCCAAGUAGCGUGAAGGAUGACGGUCCUCCGGGUUGUAAACUUCUUUUAUAAAGGACUAAAGUGAGGCACGUGUGCCUUUUUGUAUGUACUUUAUGAAUAAGGAUCGGCUAACUCCGUGACAGGAGCCGGGGUAAUACGGAGGGUCCGAGCGUUACACGGAUUUAUUGGGUGUAAAGGGAGCGUAGGUGGGUUAUGAAGUCAGUUGUGAAAGUCUGCGGCUUAACCGGAAAAUUGCAAUUGAGACUGGCAUCCUAGAGUACAGUUGAGGUAGGCGGAAUUCGUGGUGUAGCGGUGAAAUGCGUAGAGAGCAGGAAGAACACUGAUUGCGAAGGCGGCCUACUAGACUGUCACUGACGUUGAUGCUCGAAAGUGUGGGGAGCAAACAGGAUUAGAUACCCCAGUAGUC